rnacentral:lncRNA from 10 species
GGGAAGGAAAGAAAGAUGGAUGAAAAUUACACUUCCCAGCCUCUUGUAGCUAAGGUCUGACUGCCCCCCAUCCCCUGCUUUGUGAGUCUUAGGUGAAGAAAAUGAACAGCAUAGCUCUCUGCAGUGGCUGUAUCAUAGCCAAUGAGGUUUAUCCAAGGCAUGAUUAUUGCUAAUUGAAAAUGAGCAGCGCAAGGCAGUGGACCUUGUGAGGAGUUGAGAUAUUUUCACACACCUGGUGACAGAAGCACUAGAUUCUUCUAGACACCUCCGCCAAAGCACUUUGCCUGUUCUCUGGGCUUGUAGGGGCUGAGAGGAAGGUGGUGAUAGUGAGCUUUCCACAAAGUGGUGUCACUUUGCCCAGCAGCUAUUCCUCCUGCUUGCAAAGCUUCCCAGCUCCCUUCCCCAUGGUAACCGCCUUCGCUUUGCAUCCAUCACAGGAUCUUGCACCUGAGUAUUUUCCAGGUCUUCCCCCAAGGACAAACAGCGCUUUUGCUUCUUCCCCUCCCCUGAAGCAGUAUCUGUGUCAGGGACAGUAGCUGGAUUGUCCUUCCCUGUCCAGAUCUUCCUCAGGAGCACACAGUGGAGAUGGUGGAAAGAGCUAACACUAGGUGAAUGCAGGUUCUCCUUGUGUCUCAGGCCCACCGGGGCUUUCUCAACCAUCUAGCACACAAGCUCACACUCAGACUUUAAGAAUUUGCUACAUUCUGGCUGGGUUUUUUGUUUUGUUUUUGUUUGUUUUGUUUCGUUUUGCUUUUUUUGUUUUUGAGACGGACUCUCACUCUGUCGCCCCCCGGACUGAAGUGCAGCGGCGUGAUCUCGGCUCAUGCAACCUCCGCCUCCCGGGUUCAAGCGAUUCUCCUGCCUCAGCCUCCCGAGUAGCUGGGAUUACAGGCGCCUGUCACUAUGCCUAGCUAAUUUUUGUAUUUUUAGUAGAGAUGGGGUUUCACCAUGUUGGCCAGGCUGGUCUCGAACUCCUGACCUUGUGAUUCGCCUGCCUCGGCCUCCCAAAGUGCUGGGAUUACAGGCGUUAGCCACCGCACCCGGCCCAUCCUGGCUGUUUUCUUCCAACCUGCUUUUACGGCUGCUCCAUCCACCCUCCUCUCACACUCUGCCAAGGGUGAAACCAUCUGUGCGGCCCGAUUCUCCCCGAGGGACCUGUCACUCCUCAGAACUGACUUCACUUGCUUGCCUUGCAACCUCAGCUUUCUGAAGUGCUCAAGAAAAGUUGGCACUGUGAAGAUCACAUGGCUUUUCCUCCUUGCUAAGGUGGGAGUGACAUCUUUGUAAAGCCAUCUACAUAUGAAGUGAAAACAGGAUUCCCUGUUUCUGUUUCAAGAUCCCACAUGGGUGGUCUGAAGUUUAGUUCCCUCCCAGCAAGGGAUCAACAGCAUCCAUGCUGCCAAAAGCUUCAGAAAUGAACUCUGUGUUAACUCCGCGCAUCUUUGAAGGGCCUACUAUUUGCACAUCACUCUACGAAGAGCUGAGAUACUGAGAUGAAUGAGGCACAAUCCUUGUCUUACCCUCGCUCACAAUCCUGGGGGAGGCAAGGCACAGAAACGAGCGUCAUAGAGUCAUGAGUGCCGCCCCGAGAGUGGGAGAAACACGGUGGGAACGUGCAUCUGAAUAAGUAGCAGGCAGGGGCAUGAGGAGGCAGAGUUAUUUGAGUUGCUUCUUGAAUUUUGUCACUGGUCUGGAAAGAAUGGAGAGGCUUCACCGCUGCCAAAGCUCUCCUGGUUCGGCCUCACCUGGACGGUCGACUACAUCGGUGCCGAGACAGGAACGGUGCAGCCCAAACAAGGACUCACUACAGUCAGACGCCCACGGGAACAGGGCUCAUCAGCCAAAAUCUAGUCGUUUUGUGAAAGGUGAGCCUGCGGCACGUUGAAUGUAGAGAAGAGUUUUAGCAGAAGGUGUCAAGUCCCAGGCGUUGGAGUCUGGGGAUCAGUCUGUGAACAAACCCAGGCUCAGAAUCUGGUGAGAGGGGCAGAACAGGAGCAGGAGCCAGGACGGGAGCUGGGUGCCCAGCUGGGCCAGGGUGGGCAGAGUCCAGCCCCGCUGUCCCCUUCACCACCACUGGAGCAUCGUUUCAGAAAGCCGUGCACGUCAUCCACACAAACACACACAGACCACAGCUUUAAAAGCGGAGCCAUACUGAACAAAAAGAGCACAGUCAGUGUGCACGGCAGUCCACACGCAUGGUGCAGUGGGAUUUACUUUAAUGUAUUAAACGUGGUAACAAUACACACUGGAUGGCAACUGUCGGAAUAGAUAUAAAACAUGUAUGUUACAGGCACAAACCUUGUGAUUUUAAGAACUAGAGAAAGAUUUUUCAGCAAUUGAGAAGUUUCCCUUUUUGUGACCUACUAACUAAUGAAACAGGUUGACAAAGAGAGUAUCGGACUAUAAAAAAGGAGGAAAGACGGAUCUUGUAGGAAAUUCUGCAGUUUGGUCCCACGUAGGCUGACACACCAAUGUUCUCCUGCCUUGAUAUUUAAGGGUCCCCCUGGGCCGGGGUCAGUGUGUGAGCCCUGCCCUGUACAAUUCAAUUCUGUUUGCAAACUAAACUGCUGGCCCGUUUGUGGUUGCCUUGGCACUCCUACUUAAGUCUUUUGCUGUUAAUAUUUUGAAAUUUUGAAUAAGUAUGAAGGUAAAAUAGUUGUCAACAUUUGCCGGAUAUGAUCUGUUUAUAUUAUUUUAUUUAUUUUAUUUGUUUUGAGACUGAGUCUCGCUCUGUUGCCCAGGCUGGAGUGCAGUGGCCUGAUCUUGGCUCACUGCUCCCUCCGCCUUGUGGGUUCAAGUGAUUCUCAUGCCUCAGCCUCCUGAGUAGCUGGGAUUACAGGCUCCCACCAUCAUGCUCCACUAACUUUUUUUUUUGCUGUAUUUUUAGUAGAGACGGGGUUUCAUCAUGUUAGCCAGGUUGGUCUCAAACUCUUGACCUCAACUGAUCUGGUGCCUCGGCCUCCCAAAGUGCUGGGAUUACAGACAUGAGCCAUCGCGCCUGGCCACCAGGUAUGAUCUUAACUAUUUUAAAGGUCAUUAUAAAAGAACUUUCCUUAAAAAUCACUUUAAGCAAAUGUUUCCUUAUUAGAAGUGUUCCUUUGCAUCCCAUUUCCCUACUGAAGCAUAUGAAAAGGCAUUUUCUCUUGUUUUGUUUCUGAAUCUGAUAUUUCAUUGAGAAUAUUUUUCUUGCAAGGGUGAGAAAAGUCACUACUCUGUUGUAUAAUUUGAAGCCAAGUAUUACCAUCCAAUUUUUAUCCUAACAGAGCAAAAAAUUCAGCCAUCUAAGUAUUUAUGAUCAUCCCCUUCUCAGUAUUUUAAUAGCUUGAAAGCAAUUUUAAGCAAAUUGGUGGUGGUAUCUGGUAGCAAAUAUAACCUUCUCCAACGUAGGGCCCACACUCCCCAUCAUCCAUUUCUGUCUGUACCAAACACACGCAUGCUUAUGGUAAUGGUUGUGCAGAGGCGGCUGUCCUGUGUGGCUGCUCUGGAAAUGUGGGUUAUACCAUCCUUGAAGAGAAUCCCUGUGGGUGAAUUAUAAGAGGUUGAAGACACAUAUUGUCCAGAGUUUAAAGUCACAAAAAAAUAAAGCAUUUUCUUCGUGGUAAGACUUAUCGGUAGGGCUAGAAAGGACGUAAUUACAUAGAAUAUAAAUUAUGUUUUCAUUGCAUGUAUAUAAAUGGUGAUGUUAUAUAUCUAGGUAAAAAUCCUGAAACAUAGAAGUGAAUUAAAGAAGUGUUUUAAAUAACA